rnacentral:rRNA from 1 species
GAUGAACGCUGGCGGCGUGCCUAAUACAUGCAAGUCGAGCGAACGGACGAGAAGCUUGCUUCUCUGAUGUUAGCGGCGGACGGGUGAGUAACACGUGGAUAACCUACCUAUAAGACUGGGAUCACUUCGGGAAACCGGAGCUAAUACCGGAUGAUAUUUUGAACCGCAUGGUUCAAAAGUGAAAGACGGUCUUGCUGUCACUUCUAGAUGGAUCCGCGCUGCAUUAGCUAGUUGGUAAGGUAACGGCUUACCAAGGCAACGAUGCAUAGCCGACCUGAGAGCGUGAUCGGCCACACUGGAACUGAGACGCGGUCCAGACUCCUACGGGAGGCAGCAGUAGGGAAUCGUCCGCGAUGGGCGAAAGCCUGACGGAGCAACGCCGCGUGAGUGAUGAGGGUCUUCGGAUCGUAAAACUCUGUUAUUAGGGAAGAACAUAUGUGUAAGUAACUGUGCACAUCUUGACGGUACCUAAUCAGAAAGCCACGGCUAACUACGUG